rnacentral:rRNA from 1 species
CCAAUAGCGUAUAUUAAAGUUGUUGCAGUUAAAAAGCUCGUAGUUGAAUUUCGGGAUCAAUAUAUCGGUCGUGCCAUCGGUACGUACUGGUAUGAUUGGUUUCUCCUUUCUGACGAACCAUGAUGUCAUUAAUUUGGUGUUAUGGGAAGUUAGGACUGUUACUUUGAAAAAAUUAGAGUGUUUAAAGCAGGCUUUAGCUUGAAUACAUUAGCAUGGAAUA